rnacentral:rRNA from 1 species
UACGGAGGGUGCAAGCGUUAAUCGGAAUUACUGGGCGUAAAGCGCACGCAGGCGGUUUUUUAAGUCAGAUGUGAAAUCCCCGGGCUCAACUUGGGAACUGCAUUUGAAACUGGCAAGCUUGAGUCUCGUAGAGGGAGGGAGAAUUCCAGGUGUAGCGGUGAAAUGCGUAGAGAUCUGGAGGAAUACCAGUGGCGAAGGCGGCCCCCUGGACGAAGACUGACGCUCAGGUGCGAAAGCGUGGGGAGCAAACGGG